GCUAGGGUGGCCGAGCGGUCUAAGGCGUUGGUCUCAAGUUCCAAUCUCUUCGGAGGCAUGGGUUCGAACCCCAUCCCUAGUA